AUGAGCGUGGCUCUGCCUCAUUUUUUUUCUGCCUCCAGCAGCCCCGGGGCUGCUCAGAGCCUGUGUGGCCAGUCCCCCUCUGUGCCUUUGGGACAGAAGUCAUGGAAAUCCUUCUGGGGUGCAGCUGGCAGCCUCCGGACCAGGUUCCUGCUCCUCAAACUGGGAGCACUGCGAGGGACUGGCAGCACCCGUGCUGAACUUUCUGGUGUCGAUCUGCGGAGCUGCAGGAGCGAUGCUUUCAGGACGCUCUCCUCCAUCCCUCUCUCUCUCACAGAAGAAAAAAAAAAAACAAAACAAGAUGAAAAAAUCCCACCAAAACCAAACAGAAAAAAACACAGCAGAAGCUUUUCUUUCGAUCUGCUGGGUCAGCACUCCGGCUGCCGUUGGCUUUUUCAAUCCGUGCUCCCCCCAUGCAGCCCUGCCCUCGGCAGCAGUGCGUGAGCUCGGGCUCUGGCACCCCGGUGAUUGAUGGCGUUGUGAAAGGGGCUGCAGAUGCUGCGGUUGCACCGAGCAGUGGGGAGCUGCUUUCUGCGGCCCACGGAGAUGCCAUCUGCCCGGGGUUCGCCCCCCCAAAGCCUCCCCCUUCGCGUUGCACAACCAGCCGAGGCCACCCCGGAUUUGGCCCGCUCCUCGGCACAAGCGCAAAGUGGAAGCGAAUAUUUGGGCGAGCCCCUUCUGGGAUGCUGCUCGGGGAGAAACGGGGCAGGAAAGCCCCGGGGCUGGUGAAACACACGUUGUCUGGCCUCACGCAGGGAGGUGGGCUCGGCUGAGCCCUGCGGGGGGCUCUUUUGGCCAAACCGAUGGAGUCACCCAAAAAACCCGAGCCGCAGAGAUGCCUCCUGCCCUCUGCGGGGCCGGAUCCAUCGUCAUUCUCCUUCUCUGUAUUUAGCUCUUUUUAUUUCUUCAAGGGAUGUGGUUGAGAUAGAGAUUUCCAGCCCGGAGCUUCUUAUUUAUCCGCAGAUGGCUUGGGCAGGAGUUUCCCAGGAGGAUAGGAGCCCAUCCGCACCCUCCAAAGCACACAAAUACAGGAAAAAAAAAAAAAAAAAGAAGCUGUUGCUGUUUCAGAGCGUAAAGCAGCCCUGCUCCAAUGCGUGGAGACAUCAGACGGAUGGAGCCAUCCCUGCUCUCUGCUGCUGGAAGCUUUUUUGUUCAAUUUGUGGUACCUGGACAGAGCAACCCGCCGGUAUUUGGCGAGGUGAUGCCCAUCCAUCAGCUGCCGCCGCCCUCCGUCCCGGGGAAUCAAUCCUGCCUAAUGUAUAAACAUCAGACCCGGAGACUCAGCUGUAGAGGGGAAAGCGGAGCUGUCAGAUAAGCUGCAAUUAGUGCAUUUAUCUGCUUUAUUUUCCUGUCGGUUCCCAAACUCCUUUUGCCUGCCUGCUCCUAAUACACAUUAUUAAAUCUGCGUUAAAUGUUGAUUAAAGAAGCUGAAAUCCCAGGUGUUUGUUACCCAACACUGCUCUGAGAUGUGCUCUCAAACCACCUUAUGCAAAUUUCAUUUUUUUGUCUCUUUUCCUUGUUUUUUCCACCCUUUUAAAGUAGAUUCAAUCUGGGGAAAUGCCUCUUGUGGGUCGGUGUUCUGGAGGUCCCUGCCCCAGCCCCCCUGGCGCGGAGGGGCAGCAGCCACGAGCUCCAGCAGCUCUUUAAGCAAAAUGCUGCAAAAGGAACAGAUAUUUUAUUAUUAGUCCUGCAAGAGAAAACGCAGCAAUCAAUCCCGGCCCUAGACUAAGCCCUUCCCUUUGUAGUUUGGAUGUUUAGAAGUAAUUUGGGGAGUAAUCACCGCAAAUGGAAGCAUGGAAGUAAAUGCCUGCAAUAAAACAUUGCGGGGGUGACUGUUAUCCUAACGA
rnacentral:lncRNA from 1 species